AGGCAGAGUCGGGCGUCCGCGUCCUCCCGGCCAGCUCGACCGUCUUCUCUAGGCCCAUUCAGGACACAGGGGAGAAGGGAUGAUGUAUAAACCCAUGGAGUUGCUCACUCUCCUCUUACCUCCUUGAGGCAAGUCUCUGGUACUCAGGCUGGAGUGCGGUGGUGUGAUCUUGGCUCACUGUAAACUCAAGCUCCUGAACUCAAGCAAUUCUCCUGCCUUGGCCUCCCAAAGUGCUGGGAUUGCAGGUGUGAACUGCCACACCUGGCUCCCCGACUAUUCCUGUAUCAGAAAUGUAACUCACCCACUCACCACCAGCCCACACUCUGGGUUCUCCUAUCACUCCACUGCCUGCUCCUCGGCUGAUCACAAUGGAAGAAGAGAUCAUGGCACUUGUCAUUGACAAUGGCUCCAGCACAUGCAAAGCUGGCUUUGCUGGGUAUAGUUCCCCGAGCCAUGUUCCCCUCCAUCACUGGGUAUCCCUGGCACCAGGGCAUGAUGGUGGGCAUAGGCCAGAAGGACUCCUACCUGGGUGAUGAGGCCCAGAGCAAGUGCAGCAUCCUGACCCUGAAAGUGCCCCGUGGACCACCGCAUCAUCACCAACUGGGAUGACAUGGAGAAGAUCUGGCACCACACCUUCUACGAUUAGCUGCACGUGGCUCCCAAGGAGCACCCAGUGCUGCUGCCUGAGGCCCCGCUGAACCCCAGGGCCAACAGAAAGAAGAUGACUCGGAUUGAGACCUUCAACACCCCAGCAAGGUACACAGCCAUCCAGGCUGUGCUGUCCCUGUACACCUCUGGUUACACCACUGGUAUUAUCAUACACAGCUGAGACCCACACGGUGCCCGUCUACAAGGGCUAUGCCUUCCCCCAUGCCAUCCUGCGUCUGGAUGACUGGCACCUGACCAACCACCCCAUGGAGAUCUUCAGGGAGCCCAGCUACUGCUUCACCACCACAGCCAAACGGGAGAUCUUGUGCAACAUCAAGGAGAAGCUGCGGAAAUGGCCACCACAGCGUCCUCCUCCUCCCUGGAGAAGAUCUAGGAGCUGUCCAAGUGGUUCCAGUGUCUGGAGGCGCUGUUCCAGGCCUCCUUCCUGGGUAUGGAAUCUUGUGGCAUCCACCAGGCCACCUUCAACUCCAUAAAGUGUGAUGUGCACAUCCGCAAGGACCUGUUUGCCAACAUGGUGCUGUCUGGUGACACCCCCGUGUACCUGGGCAUCACCUACAUGAUGCAGAAGAUCACGACCCUGGUGCCCAGCUCCAAGAAGAUCAUCACCUUCCCUGAGCGCAAGUCCUUGUGUGGAUUGGCAGCACCAUCCUGGCCGCCUUCCAGCAGAUGUGGAUCAUCAAGCAGGAGUAGGAUGAAUCAAGCCCCUGCAUCACCCACUGCAAAUGCUUCUAAAUGGACUGCAAGCAGACGCGUGUCAUGUGCUUCAUGGAUUAAUGCAGAAGUAUAAAUUUGCCCCUGGCAAAUGCAUACACCUCAUGCUAGCCUCAAUAAACCAGAAUAAGCCUUUCAAAAGAACUGGUCCUUGAAGCUUGUAUAUCAGCACCGGAUUGUAGAACUUGGUGCUGAUUUUGACUUUGUUAACCGUUCCCUUGGUAUUUGUUUAAUACCCUGUACAUAUCUUUGAUUUAUACCCUUAGUACAUGUGGCUCAGUAACUUCAUGGCUGAGGUGAGGACAUGCUUGUGGGAGGGAAGUCUGUGGCUUGGUGGGUCUGUGUGACCUGCAGUCUCCUUAUCUGUGCAGGUACUAAGGUGUCAGAGAGCUCAGUGUUCCAGGAUUUUCCUUUUUUUUUUUUUUUUUUGAGACAGAGUUUCGCUCUAGUUGCCCACACUAGAGUGCAAUGGCGCAACCUCGGUUCACUACAACCUCCGCCUCCUGGGUCCAAGUGAUUCUCCUGCUUCAGCCUCCCAAGUAGCUGGGAUUACGGGCAUGCGCCACCACACCCGGCUAAUUUUGUAUUUUUAGUAGAGACAGGGUUUCUCCAUGUUGGUCAGGCUAGUCUCAAACUCCCGACCUUAGGUGAUGCACUGUGCCCAGCCAUUCCAGGAUUUUUCUAGAGCCUGGCAAGAGCUCCUGAACCAGUUUCAUUUCUGUCUUGCUGGUCUAUUAGUGUUAAGUCUUGAGCUAGAAGCGGUUUACAUUUACACCUGUAAAUUUAUUCAUUCUUUUAAUUUAUGUAAGUUUUUUGUACAUAAUUCUCAAUUUUUAAAGAGAUGACCACAAAUUUUGGUUUUCCACUGUUAUUUACAUAAGGAAAAAUAAAGUGCUGCAGUAAACCAAAAAAUAAAUAUAAUUCGCUCUAACCUCU
rnacentral:lncRNA from 1 species